AGUGAACGCUGGCGGUAGGCCUAACACAUGCAAGUCGAACGGCAGCACAGUAAGAGCUUGCUCUUACGGGUGGCGAGUGGCGGACGGGUGAGGAAUACAUCGGAAUCUACUUUUUCGUGGGGGAUAACGUAGGGAAACUUACGCUAAUACCGCAUACGACCUACGGGUGAAAGCAGGGGAUCUUCGGACCUUGCGCGAUUGAAUUAGCCGAUGUCGGAUUAGCUAGUUGGCGGGGUAAAGGCCCACCAAGGCGACGAUCCGUAGCUGGUCUGAGAGGAUGAUCAGCCACACUGGAACUGAGACACGGUCCAGACUCCUACGGGAGGCAGCAGUGGGGAAUAUUGGACAAUGGGCGCAAGCCUGAUCCAGCCAUACCGCGUGGGUGAAGAAGGCCUUCGGGUUGUAAAGCCCUUUUGUUGGAAAGAAAAGCAGCAGGUUAAUACCCCGCUGUUCUGACGGUACCCAAAGAAUAAGCACCGGCUAACUUCGUG
rnacentral:rRNA from 1 species